rnacentral:rRNA from 1 species
GGUUAAGCGACUAAGCGUACACGGUGGAUGCCCUGGCAGUCAGAGGCGAUGAAGGACGUGCUAAUCUGCGAUAAGCGUCGGUAAGGUGAUAUGAACCGUUAUAACCGGCGAUUUCCGAAUGGGGAAACCCAGUGUGUUUCGACACACUAUCAUUAACUGAAUCCAUAGGUUAAUGAGGCGAACCGGGGGAACUGAAACAUCUAAGUACCCCGAGGAAAAGAAAUCAACCGAGAUUCCCCCAGUAGCGGCGAGCGAACGGGGAGCAGCCCAGAGCCUGAAUCAGUGUGUGUGUUAGUGGAAGCGUCUGGAAAGGCGCGCGAUACAGGGUGACAGCCCCGUACACAAAAAUGCACAUGCUGUGAGCUCGAUGAGUAGGGCGGGACACGUGGUAUCCUGUCUGAAUAUGGGGGGACCAUCCUCCAAGGCUAAAUACUCCUGACUGACCGAUAGUGAACCAGUACCGUGAGGGAAAGGCGAAAAGAACCCCGGCGAGGGGAGUGAAAAAGAACCUGAAACCGUGUACGUACAAGCAGUGGGAGCACGCUUAGGCGUGUGACUGCGUACCUUUUGUAUAAUGGGUCAGCGACUUAUAUUCUGUAGCAAGGUUAACCGAAUAGGGGAGCCGAAGGGAAACCGAGUCUUAACUGGGCGUUAAGUUGCAGGGUAUAGACCCGAAACCCGGUGAUCUAGCCAUGGGCAGGUUGAAGGUUGGGUAACACUAACUGGAGGACCGAACCGACUAAUGUUGAAAAAUUAGCGGAUGACUUGUGGCUGGGGGUGAAAGGCCAAUCAAACCGGGAGAUAGCUGGUUCUCCCCGAAAGCUAUUUAGGUAGCGCCUCGUGAAUUCAUCUCCGGGGGUAGAGCACUGUUUCGGCAAGGGGGUCAUCCCGACUUACCAACCCGAUGCAAACUGCGAAUACCGGAGAAUGUUAUCACGGGAGACACACGGCGGGUGCUAACGUCCGUCGUGAAGAGGGAAACAACCCAGACCGCCAGCUAAGGUCCCAAAGUCAUGGUUAAGUGGGAAACGAUGUGGGAAGGCCCAGACAGCCAGGAUGUUGGCUUAGAAGCAGCCAUCAUUUAAAGAAAGCGUAAUAGCUCACUGGUCGAGUCGGCCUGCGCGGAAGAUGUAACGGGGCUAAACCAUGCACCGAAGCUGCGGCAGCGACGCUGAUGCGUUGUUGGGUAGGGGAGCGUUCUGUAAGCCUGCGAAGGUGUGCUGUGAGGCAUGCUGGAGGUAUCAGAAGUGCGAAUGCUGACAUAAGUAACGAUAAAGCGGGUGAAAAGCCCGCUCGCCGGAAGACCAAGGGUUCCUGUCCAACGUUAAUCGGGGCAGGGUGAGUCGACCCCUAAGGCGAGGCCGAAAGGCGUAGUCGAUGGGAAACAGGUUAAUAUUCCUGUACUUGGUGUUACUGCGAAGGGGGGACGGAGAAGGCUAUGUUGGCCGGGCGACGGUUGUCCCGGUUUAAGCGUGUAGGCUGGUUUUCCAGGCAAAUCCGGAAAAUCAAGGCUGAGGCGUGAUGACGAGGCACUACGGUGCUGAAGCAACAAAUGCCCUGCUUCCAGGAAAAGCCUCUAAGCAUCAGGUAACAUCAAAUCGUACCCCAAACCGACACAGGUGGUCAGGUAGAGAAUACCAAGGCGCUUGAGAGAACUCGGGUGAAGGAACUAGGCAAAAUGGUGCCGUAACUUCGGGAGAAGGCACGCUGAUAUGUAGGUGAAGUCCCUCGCGGAUGGAGCUGAAAUCAGUCGAAGAUACCAGCUGGCUGCAACUGUUUAUUAAAAACACAGCACUGUGCAAACACGAAAGUGGACGUAUACGGUGUGACGCCUGCCCGGUGCCGGAAGGUUAAUUGAUGGGGUUAGCGCAAGCGAAGCUCUUGAUCGAAGCCCCGGUAAACGGCGGCCGUAACUAUAACGGUCCUAAGGUAGCGAAAUUCCUUGUCGGGUAAGUUCCGACCUGCACGAAUGGCGUAAUGAUGGCCAGGCUGUCUCCACCCGAGACUCAGUGAAAUUGAACUCGCUGUGAAGAUGCAGUGUACCCGCGGCAAGACGGAAAGACCCCGUGAACCUUUACUAUAGCUUGACACUGAACAUUGAGCCUUGAUGUGUAGGAUAGGUGGGAGGCUUUGAAGUGUGGACGCCAGUCUGCAUGGAGCCGACCUUGAAAUACCACCCUUUAAUGUUUGAUGUUCUAACGUUGACCCGUAAUCCGGGUUGCGGACAGUGUCUGGUGGGUAGUUUGACUGGGGCGGUCUCCUCCUAAAGAGUAACGGAGGAGCACGAAGGUUGGCUAAUCCUGGUCGGACAUCAGGAGGUUAGUGCAAUGGCAUAAGCCAGCUUGACUGCGAGCGUGACGGCGCGAGCAGGUGCGAAAGCAGGUCAUAGUGAUCCGGUGGUUCUGAAUGGAAGGGCCAUCGCUCAACGGAUAAAAGGUACUCCGGGGAUAACAGGCUGAUACCGCCCAAGAGUUCAUAUCGACGGCGGUGUUUGGCACCUCGAUGUCGGCUCAUCACAUCCUGGGGCUGAAGUAGGUCCCAAGGGUAUGGCUGUUCGCCAUUUAAAGUGGUACGCGAGCUGGGUUUAGAACGUCGUGAGACAGUUCGGUCCCUAUCUGCCGUGGGCGCUGGAGAACUGAGGGGGGCUGCUCCUAGUACGAGAGGACCGGAGUGGACGCAUCACUGGUGUUCGGGUUGUCAUGCCAAUGGCACUGCCCGGUAGCUAAAUGCGGAAGAGAUAAGUGCUGAAAGCAUCUAAGCACGAAACUUGCCCCGAGAUGAGUUCUCCCUGACUCCUUGAGAGUCCUGAAGGAACGUUGAAGACGACGACGUUGAUAGGCCGGGUGUGUAAGCGCAGCGAUGCGUUGAGCUAACCGGUACUAAUGAACCGUGAGGCUUAACCUU